rnacentral:rRNA from 1 species
GUAGGUGGCAAGCGUUGUCCGGAAUUAUUGGGCGUAAAGCGCGCGCAGGUGGUUCUUUAAGUCUGAUGUGAAAGCCCCCGGCUCAACCGGGGAGGGUCAUUGGAAACUGGGGAACUUGAGUGCAGGAGAGGAAAGUGGAAUUCCACGUGUAGCGGUGAAAUGCGUAGAUAUGUGGAGGAACACCAGUGGCGAAGGCGACUUUCUGGCCUGUAACUGACACUGAGGCGCGAAAGCGUGAGGAGCAACCAGGGAUUAGAUACCCUGGUAGUCCACGCCGUAAACGAUGAGUGCUAAGUGUUGGGGGGGGUUUCCGCCCCCUCAGUGCUGCAGCUAACGCAUUAAGCACUCCGCCUGGGAGUACGGUCGCAAGACUG